rnacentral:tmRNA from 7 species
GGGGGCGAUAGGUUUCGACGUGUUGAAAGGGGGCGUUGGUAGCGAGCCGAGGUCCCACACUCUCGCAAAACCGUGGACCCAAAAGAUAACUGCCGAGUCUAACUUGGCCCUCGCAGCGUAAGCUGCGACGUUCGCCCGGAUACGCUGACGGAUCCGGGGUCGAGCGCCACCUACGUCGGCUACCCGAAGCGUCGCCCGUUCGCGUGAUGCCAGGGGAAUCUAAAGCGAACUCGCCAACAGUGAAUCGCGCCUGCCGAGUCACUCGCGGCUAAACCCAAAUGCAGGACACGCUCGUAGAAGCCAACGUCGACUUCUUCGCGGACGCGGGUUCGAUUCCCGCCGCCUCCACCA